rnacentral:rRNA from 1 species
GACGAACGCUGGCGGCGUGCUUAACACAUGCAAGUCGAACGGAAAGGCCCUGCUUUUGUGGGGUGCUCGAGUGGCGAACGGGUGAGUAACACGUGAGUAACCUGCCCUUGACUUUGGGAUAACUUCAGGAAACUGGGGCUAAUACCGGAUAGGAGCUCCUGCUGCAUGGUGGGGGUUGGAAAGUUUCGGCGGUUGGGGAUGGACUCGCGGCUUAUCAGCUUGUUGGUAGGGUAGUGGCUUACCAAGGCUUUGACGGGUAGCCGGCCUGAGAGGGUGACCGGCCACAUUGGGACUGAGAUACGGCCCAGACUCCUACGGGAGGCAGCAGUGGGGAAUAUUGCACAAUGGGCGGAAGCCUGAUGCAGCAACGCCGCGUGCGGGAUGACGGCCAUCGGGUUGUAAACCGCUUUCGCCUGUGACGAAGCGUGAGUGACGGUAAUGGGUAAAGAAGCACCGGCUAACUACGUG